AACGAACGCUGGCGGCAGGCUUAACACAUGCAAGUCGAACGCGCCCUUCGGGGCGAGUGGCAGACGGGUGAGUAACGCGUGGGAACCUACCUUUUGGUACGGAAUAACUCAGGGAAACUUGAGCUAAUACCGUAUGUGCCCUUACUUUUAAUCGGGUUUGGGGAAAGAUUCAUCGCCAAAGGAUGGGCCCGCGUCGGAUUAGCUAGUUGGUGGGGUAAUGGCCUACCAAGGCGACGAUCCGUAGCUGGUCUGAGAGGAUGAUCAGCCACACUGGGACUGAGACACGGCCCAGACUCCUACGGGAGGCAGCAGUGGGGAAUAUUGGACAAUGGGGGCAACCCUGAUCCAGCCAUGCCGCGUGAGUGAUGAAGGCCUUAGGGUUGUAAAGCUCUUUCGCCGGUGAAGAUAAUGACGGUAACCGGAGAAGAAGCCCCGGCUAACUUCGUGCCAGCCGCCGCCGUAACAC
rnacentral:rRNA from 1 species